rnacentral:rRNA from 1 species
CCUACGGGCGGCAGCAGUGAGGAAUAUUGGUCAAUGGACGAGAGUCUGAACCAGCCAAGUAGCGUGAAGGAUGACUGCCCUAUGGGUUGUAAACUUCUUUUAUAUGGGAAUAAAAUGUUCCACGUGUGGGAUUUUGUAUGUACCAUAUGAAUAAGGAUCGGCUAACUCCGUGCCAGCAGCCGCGGUAAUACGGAGGAUCCGAGCGUUAUCCGGAUUUAUUGGGUUUAAAGGGAGCGUAGGUGGAUUGUUAAGUCAGUUGUGAAAGUUUGCGGCUCAACCGUAAAAUUGCAGUUGAAACUGGCAGUCUGGAGUACAGUAGAGGUGGGCGGAAUUCGUGGUGUAGCGGUGAAAUGCUUAGAUAUCACGAAGAACUCCGAUUGCGAAGGCAGCUCACUGGACUGCAACUGACACUGAGGCUCGAAAGUGUGGGUAUCAAACAGGAUUAGAGACCCGGGUAGGC